UUGUUUUGGGCGCCAAAAUGAAGACUCAGCAGCAGUCAGUCAGAAGAACUCUCUCAGACGGACACCACGUUAUUAAACUCCAUCAUCCUUUCAUACGCUACACACUCAAAAGCAUUGAUAAAUGCUGAAUUUAAAAGAAUCACUACUGUCUUAUGUUCCUGCGUGUCACCUGGACCUCCAAUCCAAAAACCUGACGAAACUCUUCUAUCAGAAAGGAGGACAGCUAGCAAAAAGACUUCAAACAAUGAAUGAUCAAAUGACAGAAGGCAUGGAUGAAGUCAGCAUCAGUGUGGUCAUUUGAAGACACCACUGUUGGGAUUUGUGCUCUCAAACAACAUGCUUCUUGUGAUGAAGAAGAGGAUCUUUGUAUAGUCCUGGAAGGUAUGAAGGUGUUGCAACAUCGUGCCAUGUUGUUUGAGCUGAUGUAUGCCUUAAACCUGAGCUAUCCUGAUCUCUGCUUUAUUUUUGAAGAAAUCCAAAAGAUUUUAAUGGAACUGCAUUGAGCGUAACUUUAACGAACCGUUUCUUUCAGUGAAAGGAUCAGAAAGACUGUGCUGCUCAUUUAUGUUCUUUUUAUUUAUCUGUUUUAAGUGUUUUCUCUUAUUAAAACAUUAACCGUUUGCUGCUCAGAGUUGAUUUUGGAAAUGGUUGUUGUAUUUUUUUUUGUUGAAUCUUUGAUUAUCAGUUUAUACAAAUGCUGUAGCUCUGACUUUCUGAAGGAUUGAUAUUUUCCAGUUUGUAAAUCCAUUUAAAAAAUAAUAGUACUUACUGUUUUGCAUGUCUCUUUGGAAUGCAGUGUUUGUGCUUUAGCACUUCUAAAUCUACUGUGAUAGUAACUAUUUUAAACACUUGGGUCAGUUUUACAGAUGGGGCUUUUUCUAGUCCCAGACUUUUGCAAUGCCUUAAUUUGAAAACCUAUUGCACUGACAUAUCUUGACAUAUAUCAGUGCCAUUGUUUUGUCUCAAGAUGUACUCCAGUGUUGUUUUUGUAAGGUAGGUUUGUUUGUAAACUUUUUUUUGUAAAAAAUAUCCUAAUAUAACUAGGGCCUAGUCAUGGAUUAAUCUACAACCUGUUUGGG